GAGUGAAAUGAUGGUAACCAUCUUUCGGGACUUACUCAAAAUCUGGGGAAAACUCUUGUCUCACUGAUCACUC